UACGUAGGUGGCAAGCGUUAUCCGGAUUUACUGGGUGUAAAGGGCGUGUAGGCGGGGAAGCAAGUCAGAUGUGAAAACCACGGGCUCAACCUGUGGCCUGCAUUUGAAACUGUUUUUCUUGAGUGCUGGAGAGGCAAUCGGAAUUCCGUGUGUAGCGGUGAAGUGCGUAGAUAUACGGAGGAACACCAGUGGCGAAGGCGGAUUGCUGGACAGUAACUGACGCUGAGGCGCGAAAGCGUGGGGAGCAAACAGG
rnacentral:rRNA from 1 species